GAUGAACGCUGACAGAAGGCUUAACACAUGCAAGUCAUUGGCGAAGCUGCGCCUGCGCCGUCUAGUCAAGGCGGACGGGUGAGGAAAUCGUAAGGAACCUGCCUUGCAGACAGGGAUAACAGACGGAAACGACUGAUAAUACCGGGUAUUGUCUGGCUGGCGCAUGCCGGCCUGAUGAAAGGAGACGCUGCAGGAGAGCCUUGCGUCCGAUUAGCUAGUUGGUGGGGUAACGGCCUACCAAGGCGACGAUAGGUAGCCGGCCUGAGAGGGUGAACGGCCACAAGGCGUCUGAGAGACGGCACUUGCUCCUACGGGAGGCAGCAGUGAAGACUAAUGGACAAUGGGGGCAACCCUGAUCCAGCACUUCUGUGUGCACAAAGAAGGUUUUCGGGUUGUAAAGUGCUUUCAGCAGAGAAGAAGAAAGUGACGGUACCUGCAGAAGAAGCGACGGCUAAAUACGUG
rnacentral:rRNA from 1 species